rnacentral:RNase_P_RNA from 1 species
AAGGCAAAUCAGUUUGUCGCUGUCCCUUAAUGGGAGAGAGGAAAGUCCGGGCAGUAUAGAGCACCGUACUUCUUAACGGGAAGGGUUUCGAGCAAUCGGAAUACAGAUAGUGCCACAGAAAUAAGUAGCCUUGAAGUCAAAUUCGAGGUCAUAGUGAAAAGGCGAGGUAAGAGCUCACCGCUUCAAUGGUGACAUUGUCGGCUAGGUAAACCUUACGGACUGAAAGACCAUGUAAACCAAGGUUAUUGAGCUGCUCGCUUAACUUGGAGGGUAGGUCGAUGGAUCCCGACUGUGAAGUCGGGACUAGAUAAAUGACAAACAGCCAUCUUCGGAUGGUGUACAGGACCCGGCUUAUGAUUUGCCUUUUUG